rnacentral:rRNA from 1 species
AUGUGGAAGACUAUCAAACCUAAUGUCUCGAUGGAGGGGGCCAUUGUCUCGUCAAGCACAACCAGGGAGAUCGUCGUUGCCACUCUUGACCCGACGGACGAUACGCCGGAACUCGUCCUCACCACACCAUCGUCGUUGCCCACAAGGUCUACCACUGAAGAGGACGCUGAUCUCUCUGUUCAGGAAGCGACAACACCAAUCCACAUUCCCUCCUUGAACGCGCGGACGGAGGGCCAGGAGGGCACGCCCAUCUUCAUCCCGCGCAUGCCAGCGCUCCUACCUUCCCCUAUUGCAAGCUCCACGCUGCCAAGGGCGCCAAAGGCAAGAAGAAAAACUCUUGCAGGGGUUUCUGGCCUCCAGCUAAUUCGACACAGCCCGCGGCUUCAAGCAAAGAACAGGAGCAUGCCAAUCGCCAAGCUUGCGGAGAAACUCCUGUGUCACCGGAUGGGCAUCGUGGCCGAGGGAGAGCUGAUCACCGAGGCGGCAAUAGAGAAAUUUGCCUUACUGUUCAAGGGGCGCCUUCUUGACAUUGCAAUUGCUGCUCUUCGAGCCCUCUUCAGGCUUGACUGCGAUCUUUCUGCUGCUGUUGAAGACGCUCUAGUCCAACAUGGGGGACAAGGAGGCCUGGACGCGAACGACGCGGCCAUGAGCGACACAUGA